rnacentral:rRNA from 1 species
CCUAAGGUAGCGAAAUUCCUUGUCGGGUAAGUUCCGACCUGCACGAAUGGCGUAAUGAUGGGGGCGCUGUCUCCACCCGAGACUCAGUGAAAUCGAAAUCGCAGUGAAGAUGCUGUGUACCCGCGGCUAGACGGAAAGACCCCGUGAACCUUUACUAUAGCUUCACAGUGGACUUUGAACCUGUUUGUGUAGGAUAGCUGGGAGACUUUGAAGCAGUGACGCUAGUCAUUGUGGAGUCGUCCUUGAAAUACCAGCCUGGCAUGUUUGAGGUUCUAACCUGGGUCCCUUAUCGGGAUCGGGGACAUUGUGUGGUGGGUAGUUUGACUGGGGCGGUCUCCUCCCAAAGAGUAACGGAGGAGCACAAAGGUACCCUCAGCACGGUCGGACAUCGUGCAACGAGCGUAAAGGUAGAAGGGUGCUUGACUGCGAGACUUACAAGUCGAGCAGGUGCGAAAGCAGGUCUUAGUGAUCCGGUGGUUCUGUAUGGAAGGGCCAUCGCUCAACGGAUAAAAGGUACUCCGGGGAUAACAGGCUGAUACCGCCCAAGAGUUCAUAUCGACGGCGGUGUUUGGCACCUCGAUGUCGGCUCAUCACAUCCUGGGGCUGAAGUCGGUCCCAAGGGUAUGGCUGUUCGCCAUUUAAAGUGGUACGCGAGCUGGGUUUAGAACGUCGUGAGACAGUUCGGUCCCUAUCUGCCGUGGGCGUUGGAGAUUUGAGAGGAGCUGCUCCUAGUACGAGAGGACCGGAGUGGACGAACCUCUGGUGUUCCGGUUGUCACGCCAGUGGCAUUGCCGGGUAGCUACGUUCGGACGGGAUAACCGCUGAAAGCAUCUAAGCGGGAAGCCUCCCUCAAGAUGAGAUCUCCCUGGGGGCUUGACCCCCCUGAAGGGCCGUUGAAGACCACAACGUUGAUAGGCUGGGUGUGGAAGCGUUGUAAGGCGUGAAGCUAACCAGUACUAAUUGCCCGUGAGGCUUGACUAU